rnacentral:rRNA from 1 species
UACAGAGGGUGCAAGCGUUAAUCGGAUUUACUGGGCGUAAAGCGUGUGUAGGUGGCUCGCUAAGUCGGUUGUGAAAUCCCUGGGCUCAACCUGGGAAUUGCAGUUCGAUACUGAUGAGCUCGAGUUCGGUAGAGGGUGACGGAAUUCCCGGUGUAGCGGUGGAAAUGCGUAGAUAUCGGGAGGAACAUCGAUGGCGAAGGCAAUCACCUGGGCCUGAACUGACACUGUGACACGAAAGCGUGGGUAGCAACAGG